CAUGUUCAAACAAAAUCUUUUUACACAAAGGAACAAUAGAUGAAAACUGUCAUAGGAUUUUAUUGUCUUGGGAAGAAUCGACUGACAGGGACCUCGGUGUUAAACUGGUAAUUUUCUGUCAUCGCUUCUUCAUUACAUGGCGAAUACAAGACCUAUCAGGAGAGGGUUUGGUUUCCAGAGCUCGGACCUGGGCUGGAAUCCAAAGUAAUGUUAGACUGUAGAAGCACUAGAUCCUCCCUAUCUUGUUUGAAGAUGAACUUCCAGACAACAAGUUAUUACUGAAUAAGACAACACAGGUGUCAGUGUGCAUGAUACUUGUCACAGCAGCCAGCAGACGAUACCUUUAUAAUAGGUGCUCAUGUUUUAUUAAAGGUGCAUGACACAAUGAAAAGCUGUCAGAAAGACUCUUCGUAAAUGUCGUAAAACUAUAUCGGUGACGUAUCACGGAUAUGGUGUCCCAAAUGUUGAAACAAAAAUUGACGAGAGUUACAAAAAUGUGUUUUGAUAGAUAAUAUGUACAGCCAAAGUAAAUUUAUCGGUUAUCAAAGGCUGGAGACAUCUGUUUGUGCUCAAUUGUAUUUGAAUUCAGAUAUUUGUUGCUAAUAAACAUUGUUCCAAACUCACAAGUUACCGUCAUGUCAGACGUUCUGUACGUGGGUUUCAGGGGCUGCAGCCUCACGAGACAUUACGGCAGUCAUCAUUUCUACUUGGAGAACAGAACGUAAUCGUUUUCUCACAGGUGAGACUCAUUUGCAUUUUGUUCACCUCCUGAUCCUGCUGUAUUCGCGAUAUUUCUAUAAGUACCGCGACUUCCCUGGCAGAUGAUACGAGUCUUCUCGCGUCGACACACUCUCAUCCCAAAAUAAUGGAGGCACCCAGGCGCGAAAGUGGUUACGACAUUUCUGAUGGGACCUUAACGGUUUUAGGUUCAACUCUUGGAAACAUCGAGAGGAGGUUUCGGUAUCAUCUUGACAUUUCGUGAUCCCACUCAGAAGAACAAAAGCACGGACGGCUGUCGGGGUUCUUAAGGAUCUUUAAUAAAGUGAUAUCAUUGAUCAGGGUGUUCAUUGCUCUUCCUAAUCACAACUGUCAACAUGCGAACAGAUUGGGAAAACGUAACGUUCAGUCGAUGUCAUCCAUACGCACUCAUGUCAGAUAAAUAAUUCGGAAAAGAUGAGCACGAACACUAAAGUAUCGAUGAAUAUUAAUUUGAUAUUUUUGUUUCAAUAAAAUUAUUUAGUUCUCCCCCUCCAACAAACAAGUGAAGAACAAUAUCACACUAAAUCAACACCUACAAGCAUCAACACGAUCAAGUCCUGUAGAUUGUGAAAUAGCUGGCCAUAUAAACAUGCAUGGAAAUUGAAACUAAUGGAAUGUAAGACACACAAGCAUGGACGUGUAUACUACGGCUGGUGAUAGAGGUCGCUGUACACGUUAUAAGCGUAACGUAAAUUACAGGCGUCCGCCCAGUUCCUUAGAUGACCCUGUUCUUAGUAAAUAUAACAGCCUGGUCCCAGGACCAUAAACUGAGAAUAGACUUAAGUCAAAAUUUUGAUUGCUUAUAUCAUAAGAUUUAUCUAGCACACAUGUUUAAAAAAAAUUGCAGGUAUAUGUAUACAAAAAGAUCAAAUGCAAUCAUGUACUAAACAUUUUAUUUGUUUAUAAAAAUUAUUUCAAAAGUUAGCUGGAUUUGAAAUUUAGACCUAAAUCUAUUCUCAGUUUAUGAGGCCAGAUCUUCAGUUAUCCGUUCAUCAGUAAACGGAAGUAGAAGGCAGUACUAUACAAUGUGUAUCGUGAUCAUUACAACUCAGAGAAGCAUCGCCCACUCCGCCUUUCAUUUGUACGUGAAUGAUUUAGUUUAGGUUCUGAAAAUAGUUUGAAUAUACCUCCAUUUCUGGAGCAAAAUAAUAAUAUGAUAAAAAAAAAAAAAAAAAAAAAUUAUGAUAGCAGUAUUUAUUACUUUCCAGAGAAUUUGAUUUAAAUCAAGUAUCAUAUUAUAAAUUGUACUUCAUGAAAGACAAAGAUAACGAACAGUGUUCAAUCUCAUGUGAUUUCAAUGAACAAAAAUUAUGAACCUCAAUACAAUCUAUGUUCAUACUACAUGUAGCUUUUGUGAACAUAUGAUAUACGUUCAUUCUAGCUUUUGUUAAUAUAUAUAUAGUCUUUAUUUAUUCUAGCCGCAGUUUUGGGAACAUAGUCUGUGUUCAUUCCAGUUUUUGUAAACAUAAAAUCUGUUCUUCGAGGGUUUGUGAACAAAUAAUCUGUGUUCAUCCGAGGUUUUGUGAACAAUUAAUUCGUGUUCACUCGAGGAUUUGUGAACAAAUAAUCUGUGUUCAU